UACGUAGGGGGCAAGCGUUGUCCGGAUUUAUUGGGCGUAAAGAGCUCGUAGGCGGCCUGUCGCGUCGGAUGUGAAAGCCCGGGGCUUAACCCCGGGUCUGCAUUCGAUACGGGCAGGCUAGAGUGUGGUAGGGGAGAUCGGAAUUCCUGGUGUAGCGGUGAAAUGCGCAGAUAUCAGGAGGAACACCGGUGGCGAAGGCGGGUCUCUGGGCCGUAACUGACGCUGAGGAGCGAAAGCGUGGGGAGCGAACAGG
rnacentral:rRNA from 1 species